rnacentral:rRNA from 1 species
ACGUCUGGUUCAGGGUUGUUAAGAAUUCUGCUCUAGUCGAAUCAUAUAUGCAUAUCAUCAUCAUCAUAUGUACGAUAUGCAUAUAAUAUGCAUAGAAGAAAGAUAGAUAUAUGACCUGAUGUAUCUAGCGCUUCUAUGAUGUACAACGACUAAUUUGUCAAGCGGUAUUCGUCAAGAUGAUGGACGAUUCCCGUUUUAGUGAAGAAUUUUUGAACGAUAGCAAAAUUUAAUAAUAACGUACAUAUGGAUAGAUAUGUACUAUUGUUAUUAUUAUACCGAAUAUAAUAUAUGAUGAUGUGUGCCUAUGCUAGUGAUGUUGUUAUUACGAUCAUCGUUAAUGCUGAUUAUCAAUGGGUAUCAUUGAAAAUCGUGAAUAUGGAUAAAUCCUAUGGAAAAAAAAACAACUCAUUGACGAUGGAUGACAUGUGUUAUAGAGGAGUAAUAACGCGGCUAUUAACACUAGCAUAAAAUUCUCAUCAUUAUUAUAUUUAAUCACUUGUAAAACGCAACCUGAACUCAGACGGAUUACCCGCUGAACUUAAGCAUAUCAGCGGAGGAAAAGAAACUA